UUCACCGACUUUGAGCUCCCUCUUCUUAUCACCGUUAAACCCUUCCUCAUCACCUCCGACUUGUUCUAUUACUCACCGUCGACAUGCCUCUUAAUUCACUGGUGCGUUUCCACUGUUCGUCCGUUUUCUGUCUGGAGUUGAGCUGAGUCUCUGUUCUGUUUUGUUUCGCUGUGCGGUGGCUGGAAGAGCGAUCAAAGCUCUUUUCUUUCCUUAUGCUGUCCGUGAGGUGUGUGUGUCAGUUAGAAUCGUGUGUUUCUGUCACUGAGAUAGCAUGGAGUUGCAGGAAUUCAUUAGCUUGUCAUUCCUUAUGGCUGUCUCUGUUCCAGGUUGACAUCCGUGCGUGUACUCGUGCUCAACAUAUAUUAUAACUGACCCUGCACCUCCAGUGGAUUGUUCAAGGCCUUUUGUUUACUUUUAUUGGAAAAAGAGGAAGCAUAUUGCAACUAUUAUUUGGUAAAACUAAGUAUUAUUAUAUUUUGUAGUUAUAACUUAAUGCUCCACGUAAAUCAUAGUUAAAUCCUAGUCUUAUUCCAUUAUUAUGUAAAUUGUUGGGAUGGAACUAGUCUCCUUACUAGUCUAGUUGGUAGGUUUUGUUGUGUUGUGAAAAUUUUAAAAGGUCCGGAUUAUAGAGGAGACUUUGUUAAAAUUUCUACAAAAUAUUUAAAACUUUACAAACAUUAUUAUAUAUAUAAUAAUAUAUAUAUAUAUAUAUCUCAAUAUUUUAGCAUAUUUUUUAGUCAUUAAGGCUUAUGGAAUAUAAAUUCUCCUCAUAUUUCAUGCCAGUCAUAUUUUUAAUAUUAGGUGUGACAUGCACAUCUUUGAAAAUGUCCAAGGCAGAUUUAUACUUUAGCCCAAUGGAAUAAGAACAAUUUUUGAAUAUUUAUUUUAAUUAUUCCAUUGAUAAUAUUGGGGUUUUAUGGAUCAUGUGUGUUUUUUACACAACCAAUUAAUAUGGCCAAUGAUUAAGUCAUGAGUGGUGACAAUUCACGUUUUCAACAAAAUUUUCCUAAUCUUGACAACUCCUGCACGUAUACUGUGGAAAAAAAAAAAAUACACAAGGGUAUAGAUUUUUUUUUUAUUGUGCCACUCAUUAUUGUCUAACAAUUCUUAUAAGACAUUUUUUUUACCAUGAAUUCAUAUAAUAAAUUUGAUUUUUAUAAUUAAUGAGUGUUGUAUUUUAAAAUUAAGUCAACUCAUGAGUCCUUGGUAUACAGAAAGUGCGGGACAAUAACAUGUGGUCUUUGUAACUCAUUGAACAAGUUCAUAAAUAUACCUAUAUUUUCAAGCUCACGACAAGAAUACUAAUUAGUUGUAUUCAGGUUGAUAAAUUAUUCUAAUAUUUUUAAAUGAUGAUUUGCAAGCUAUGUUGUUGCAGGCCACUCAUUGGUACAAAUCAACCAAACAUGCACAUACAUUUUUCUUAUUUGAAUUCUUUGUAAGGAUUUGAGUAGUUCCCACAUGAACCAUUGAGUUUUUCCAGAUUAAGUUGUAUUCUUAAUUCCCUAAAUAAAGCUUUUGAUCUCCUCCUAUUUUAAAUACAUGUGAUGGUGUACACUUACUAGUGUACAGGGACAAUUGUAGUAAUAAUCUGCUUAGAGCAUUCUAAGAUUGAAUCUUCAAGGAGGUUAAGUUUUUAUUCAUCUAAUAAAUUUUGAUUAUGAUA